rnacentral:ncRNA from 1 species
GUAAAGUUUUAUUUUGGCUUUAUAAAUUAAUUUAUAUUUUUUAAAAGAUGUAAUUUUUAAUUAAAAAUUUAAGGAUGCAAUUUAUAGAUUUAAAAAUUAUAGAAAUAUAGAUUUAGAAAUAUAUAAUUAUAUUAACAGAAAUUGUGCCAGCAGUUGCGGUUAUACAGUUAAUAUUAUUAAUUAUUUUAUAUUUAUAAUAAUUAGUAUAAUAAAAAUAAAAUUUAAAUAAUUAGGUGAAAUUUUUAUUUAAUUUAUAUUUUUUUUAUUUUUAAUAUUUAUUAAAUUUUUUAUUAAACUAGGAUUAGAUACCCUAUUAUUUAAAAUGUAAAAAUUUAAAUAAAUUAUUAAUAGUUAGAUUCUUUAAAGUUAAAAAAUUUGGCAGUAUUAUAGUUUUUAGAGGAACCUGUUUUAUAAUUGAUAAUCCACGAUUAAUUAUACUUAAAAUAUUAGUUUGUAUAUCGUCGUUUUUAAUUUUUUUAUAAGAAUAGUAAUAUUUAAUAAUUUAUUAUAAAUUAUAUAUCAGAUCAUGAUGCAGUUUAUUUUUAAGUAAAAAUGGGUUACAUUGUUAGUUAUUUUGAAUAUUAAAUUGAAAAUUUAAUUGAAAAUGGAUUUAAAAGUAAUUUUAUUAAUUUAAAUAAAAUGAUUUUAUAUUUUAAUAUGUACAUAUUGCCCGUCGCUUUCAUUUAAAAUGAGAUAAGUCGUAACAAAGUAGUUGUACUGGAAAGUGUGGCUUGAAUAAA